UACACGACCGUACCGCAAACCGACACUGGUGCGCGAGAUGAGUAUUCUAAGGCGCUUGAGAGAACUCAGGAGAAGGAACUCGGCAAAUUGACACCGUAACUUCGGAAGAAGGUGUGCCUUUAGUAGGUGAACCAUUUACUUGGGGAGCCCAAUGAGGCUGCAAAAAAUCGGUGGCUGCAACUGUUUAUUAAAAACACAGCACUCUGCUAAGACGAAAGUCGACGUAUAGGGUGUGACGCCUGCCCGGUGCUGGAAGAUUAAAUGAUGGGGUGCAAGCUCUUGAUUGAAGUCCCAGUAAACGGCGGCCGUAACAAUAACGGUCCUAAGGUAGCGAAAUUCCUUGUCGGGUAAGUUCCGACCUGCACGAAUGGCGUAAUGAUGGCCACACUGUCUCCUCCUGAGACUCAGCGAAGUUGAAAUGUUUGUGAUGAUGCAAUCUCCCCGCGGAAAGACGGAAAGACCCCAUGAACCUUUACUGUAGCUUUGUAUUGGACUUUGAACAGAUCUGUGUAGGAUAGGUGGGAGGCUUUGAAGUGUGGUCGCUAGAUCGCAUGGAGCCAACGUUGAAAUACCACCCUGGUGUGUUUGAGGUUCUAACCUAGGUCCAUUAUCUGGAUCGGGGACAGUGCAUGGUAGGCAGUUUGACUGGGGCGGUCUCCUCCCAAAGUGUAACGGAGGAGUUCGAAGGUACGCUAGGUACGGUCGGACAUCGUGCUAAUAGUGCAAUGGCAUAAGCGUGCUUAACUGCGAGACUGACAAGUCGAGCAGAUGCGAAAGCAGGACAUAGUGAUCCGGUGGUUCUGUAUGGAAGGGCCAUCGCUCAACGGAUAAAAGGUACUCUGGGGAUAACAGGCUGAUACCGCCCAAGAGUUCAUAUCGACGGCGGUGUUUGGCACCUCGAUGUCGGCUCAUCUCAUCCUGGGGCUGUAGCCGGUCCCAAGGGUAUGGCUGUUCGCCAUUUAAAGAGGUACGUGAGCUGGGUUUAAAACGUCGUGAGACAGUUUGGUCCCUAUCUUCCGUGGGCGCUGCAGAUUUGAGGAAGCCUGCUCCUAGUACGAGAGGACCGGAGUGGACGAACCUCUGGUGUAUCGGUUGUCACGCCAGUGGCAUUGCCGAGUAGCUAAGUUCGGAAGAGAUAACCGCUGAAAGCAUCUAAGCGGGAAACUCGUUUCAAGAUUAGAUCUGCCGGGGCCUUGAGCCCCCUAAAGAGUCGUUCAAGACCAGGACGUUGAUAGGUCAGGUGUGGAAGCCAA
rnacentral:rRNA from 1 species